rnacentral:rRNA from 1 species
UACGUAGGGGGCAGGCGUUGUCCGGAUUCAUUGGGCGUAAAGCGCGUGUAGGCGGCCAGGUAGGUCUGGUGUGAAAACUCGAGGCUCAACCUCGAGAGGUCAUCGGAAACCAUCUGGCUAGAGUCCGGAAGAGGAGAGUGGAAUUCCCGGUGUAGCGGUGAAAUGCGCAGAUAUCGGGAAGAACACCUAUGGCGAAGGCAGCUCUCUGGGACGGUACUGACGCUGAGACGCGAAAGCGUGGGGAGCGAACAGG